AACGAACGCUGGCGGCAUGCCUAACACAUGCAAGUCGAACGAUGCCUCCGGGCAUAGUGGCGCACGGGUGCGUAACGCGUGGGAAUCUGCCCUUGGGUUCGGAAUAACUCGCCGAAAGGCGAGCUAAUACCGGAUGAUGACGUAAGCCCAAAGAUUUAUCGACCAAGGAGGAGCCCGCGUAGGAUUAGCUAGUUGGUGGGGUAAAGGCCCACUAAGGCGACGAUCCUUAGCUGGUCUGAGAGGAUGAUCAGCCACACUGAGACUGAGACACGGCCCAGACUCCUACGGGAUGCGGCAGUGGGGGAUAUAGGACAGUCGGCGAAAGCCUGAUCCAGCAAGGCCGCGAAAGUGAUGAAGUCCGUAGGGUUGUAAAGCUCUUUUACCCAGGAUGAUAAUGACAGUACCGGAAGAAUAAGCUCCGGCUAACUCCGUG
rnacentral:rRNA from 1 species